UGUGCUAUAGCUCAGUGGUAGAGCUUGUGCUUAGCAUGCAUAAGGUCCUAUGUUCAAUUCCCAGCAACAUAC
rnacentral:tRNA from 1 species